rnacentral:tRNA from 1 species
GCUCAGAUCGUCUAGUUGGUUAGGAUGAUACGUUGUGGUCUUCUUCACACAGCGCUCCGUGUUGACGGCGGUUCGAAUCCGCCUCUGAGCA